rnacentral:rRNA from 1 species
GUAGUUAGCCGGGGCUUCCUCCUUGGCUACCGUCACUUUCUUCGUCACCAAGGACAGAGGUUUACAACCCGAAAGCCUUCUUCCCUCACGCGGCGUUGCUGGGUCAGGCUUGCGCCCAUUGCCCAAUAUUCCCCACUGCUGCCUCCCGUAGGAGUCUGGACCGUGUCUCAGUUCCAGUGUGGCCGAUCAGCCUCUCAGCUCGGCUACCCAUCGUUGGCUAGGUGGGCCGUUACCCCGCCUACUACCUAAUGGGACGCGAACCCCUCCUUCUGCGGAUUGCUCCUUUGACCUCUGAACCAUGCGGCUCUGUGGUCUUAUGCGGUAUUAGCACUUGUUUCCAGGUGUUAUCCCCCUCAAAAGGGCAGGUUGUUCACGCGUUACUCACCCGUUCGCCACUAACUACAAAUCCGAAAACCUGUAGUCCGUUCGACUUGCAUGUGUUAGGCACGCCGCCAGCGUUCGUCCUGAGCCAUGAUCAAACUCUGA